AACGUAGGAGGCAAGCGUUAUCCGGAAUUACUGGGCGUAAAGGGUGCGUAGGCGGGUCUUUAAGUCAGGGGUGAAAUCCUGGAGCUCAACUCCAGAACUGCCUUUGAUACUGAGGAUCUUGAGUUCGGGAGAGGUGAGUGGAACUGCGAGUGUAGAGGUGAAAUUCGUAGAUAUUCGCAAGAACACCAGUGGCGAAGGCGGCUCACUGGCCCGAUACUGACGCUGAGGCACGAAAGCGUGGGGAGCAAACAGG
rnacentral:rRNA from 1 species